UACGUAGGGUGCGAGCGUUGUCCGGAAUUAUUGGGCGUAAAGGGCGCGUAGGCGGCUUUGCGUGUCUUUCGUGAAAUCCCUCGGCUCAACUGAGGACGUGCGGAAGAAACUGCAGGGCUGGAGUCCGGGAGAGGAGGGUGGAAUUCCCAGUGUAGCGGUGAAAUGCGUAGAUAUUGGGAGGAACACCGGUGGCGAAGGCGGCCCUCGGGACCGGUACUGACGCUGAGGCGCGAAAGCGUGGGGAGCAAACAGG
rnacentral:rRNA from 1 species